CACCCGCGCUCGGGGCUGGCGGCUCCUCCCCGCCCGGCCGGGCCCAGCGGUCCUCGGAGCCCAGCGCCGCCGCCAUGUCCUCCGGGGCUAGCGCGAGCGCCCUGCAGCGCCUGGUGGAGCAGCUAAAGUUGGAGGCUGGCGUGGAGAGGAUCAAGGUCUCUCAGGCAGCUGCAGAGCUUCAACAGUACUGUAUGCAGAAUGCCUGCAAGGAUGCCCUGCUGGUGGGUGUUCCAGCUGGAAGUAACCCCUUCCGGGAGCCCAGAUCCUGUGCUUUACUCUGAAGACUCGUUCUUCAGAUGCCUGAAAAUAAAAAGGUGCCAAUGGUCCUGAUGUACUGUAAGAGAUCAAAAGCCAUGCUACUAAAUAAAGUCAGGAAUUACCCAGAAAAUCAGCAAGAUCCGGAUCUUGUCAUAUACUUCUGCACCUAGCAUAAUGAACCUUAUGGAAGAUAUCUUGGUAUUUUAGCUUCAGGCGAAGUUAUAUAUUGUGUUAAGAAAUGGUCAAAGAAAAAGGAUAUCCCACAUUUCUACUGGUUGUACCUUUUUACCUAUACUUUCUAUUUAUCACUUAAAAGCAAUUAAUCUUUACCUGUAAGCAAAAAUGGGUUCAAAGGGCUUCUACAUCUUUCUAAUUGCCACAUCAUGUAGUAUUUAUUAGCUGAUUCUUCAGCAGUAAGCAAAUUACUGAAAAAAAAAGAGUUAAAGUUUAAUACAUUAAUAAUAUUGAGUCUUUUGUAUAAUAAAAUUUUAUUCUUUUAUUUUAUUUUUUUGAGACAGAGUCUCGCUCUGUCACCCAGGCUGGAGUACAGUGGCACUAUCUUGGCUCACUGCAACCUCCACUCCAGAUUCAAGUGAUUUUCCUGUCUCAGCCUCCCGAGCAGCUGGGACCACAGGCGUCUGCCACCACGCCUGACUAAUUUUUGUAUUUUUAGUAGAGGCAGGGUUUCACCACGUGGGCCAGGCUGGUCUCCAGCUCCUGACCUCAAGUGAUCUGCCCACCUCGGCCUCCCAAAGUGCUGGGAUUACAGGUGUGAGCCACCGUGCCUGGCCCAAAAUGCUAUUUUUAAAAAGUAUUUUUAAAGUACUUUUACACUCAAAAUCAAGUGAAAAAUUAACUUUAUAAAUGUGUAAACUGCAGUCGAGUUCUACAGACCAAACACAGUACUCACUUCCUCCAUCCUUGGGAAAGUUUGGUAAUUUGUAAACUCAAUUGUUCCUACUUGACUAAAAAUUAGUCCCACCUCUACCUCCCUCAAUGGAACCUGGAGCCAGAGAGGGCUGACUUGGGAGAGUUUUAGCACUUCCCUCCAUAAACUAUGCUAGCGUCAACCUUAUACACCACCAAAAAUAAAAAUACAAUCUAAGUAAAAUUACCAUGCUUACCAUGCAAAUAGCAACCUCAACAAAAAUUUUUAUAAAAUUGCUGUCCCCAAGUCCAUUCCAUAUAGAAAUUCUGGAUCCUCUACCGGCUGAGGAUCGGAACUAUGAAAAAGUCCUUCUCUGGAGAUGGCAGAGUCCUAAAGUUUAGUUCAAGACCUUCAAUCUUGGUGGGUUUGUGAGUGAGUGAUGUGUGUCUGUGUAUGUGUGUUUAGGGGUACUGGGGGGAGAAGGGAGAAAAUAUGCAUGACAAUCAGUGUAAAUUACAGCUCAUCUGUAGCUAUGAUGCUACUAGCUUUGGUAGGGGAAAGACUAUUAAUUCAUAAACCCCUUAAUCUGUGUCCCAAGCUUCCUGCUACCCUGAGUGAGAACUGACUGUAUUCUGUUUCUCUGUUCAUAUGGAACAUAUAUGAGCAUGCUAAUUAUAAGUAUUGCCAGUUAAAUUGACAGUCUAGGGCAGUGGAAAGCUAGGUUUUAUGUCUAAGGCAUCCAGUUUACUCACAUAAUCCAAAAAUCUGGUCAUGUGGUAGAAAAUUUGAGAAUCUAGACAAUUCCUGAAUCUUACCAAGGUUUCUUUGACAACACCUCAGAUUGUAAGCAACUAUUUUAAAGUGAAAGGAAGGGGUUAUAUUUAGCAAGCCAUGUCCAAUAUAGACACACAUUUUCACUCUUAAUGGAGCUUUCUGAAGGCAUGUCUGAAUCUGAUACAUUGUUCAUAAAAAUAUAUUCACAAGUCAGCAGUCAGUUAGUAGGUUAAUAAAAUCUUACACCAUACAGACUUUUCUUUUUUAGUCCAUAAAAUCUAGCAUAGAAUCUUAUAUGUGGUAGGCACUAAAAAUAUUGUUAACUGGGUAUUAUUUUCAGCCAAAAUGUUGUGCUCUGAAAUAAAAAUAAUUGGGACCAUAAAAAUAAGUUAAAGCUACAAUAACAUUCUUUAUUAUUUUUCCUUCUUUUUUAAAAAAAAUUUUAACACCUUUUCUCCUUGUUUUUAGUUUUACAGUUGAGAUAUACAGUAGUUCCCCCUUAUCCAUGAGUUCACUAUACUUGGUUUCAUUUAUCUGUGGUCAUCUGCAGUC